CAGGAAAACACUGAGGAAUAAAAUCACCUCACAACCAGAGUUGGUGAAUCCCAUAAACAUUAGCAAAAUUGCUGAAAACCACAGUGAGCCUCCUGAUCAAGUUUAAACUACUCCAAACCUGUUUCUCUGGAGCACAGUUCAAGGAUCUCCUGAAGUCAGGAAAAAUAUUUGAAAGCAACAAUUAUUGGAUAAUUCAGCCUAAAAUUACAAUACCAACAUCAUCAAAACUUCCACUCAGCAUCAGAAAACACUGGCAGAAUGACUUCAAAGCUUUUCCCUAACAGGUCCUGUCUUCCUCUUAUGAAAACAUCAAGUUGCUACGGAGAUCCUGAAGUUGCAGCAAGUCCUGAAAUCCCACAGAAAUCCACGUGACUGACUUGUGGAUCGAAGAGGAGAUGAUGCACUAUGAAAGCAACACACUUCACCAAGUGGGUUUGGUGAGUGGUGACAAGUUGUAAGAACAACUAGCUCAAACUACUACUGCUAUGAAAUGCAGGAAUUGGGAGGUAAGGAAGUACAGCAGUGCAUCCAACAGCUGGAGGUGUUCUCCACUCUGCAUUCUCCUUGGAACACGUGAGCAUCCACCUCAGCAUCCCCUCAGCACCACUGUGGCAGCUGCUCCAGCUCCAAGCUACAGAUAAAUCCCUAAAAAAAUGCUGGACCUGAAUUGCAUGAAAAGUUUUAAUUUGUUAUUGAAAGACGUGAAAGAAGAAAUACGAUAAACUGUGCCAGAGUGAGAAAAUUAUUACAAUAGCUGACACAUGAGAAAAAAGCUUCUUGCAUUUGAAUUCAUACAGGCACUCAAUAUGACAAAAUAAUGAGCUUUUAACUCUUCUCAAUUAAAUUCCUACAAAUACUAAUGAGACAGGAGAGUAAUUGCCCUUCAGCAUCAUGUAGUGUGCUAUUUGUACACACAUAUGGAAAUAAUAAUUCUGUAUUCCCAUAGCAAUAGUAUACACAAUAUGAAUUCAUAAUAUUCCUCUUCAUUAUGGUCACAACUUUCAAUAAUUGGAUUUAGAUUGGAUAUUAGGAUGAUUUCUCCACUGAAAGGGUGGUCAGGGAUUGGAAACCGACUGUGCAGGAAAGUGGUGGAAUCACCAUCUCUGGAGCCAUUCAAAGCCCUUGGGGACUGCCCAUGGUUCAGCUGUGGAUGUGGCAGUGCUGGGCUAGUGGUUAAUAUUCCAAGUAUUUUACAACCUAAAUGGUUCUGUGGUCCUAUAAACAGCAAAUGCAAUAAAUUACACCAGGAUCUCUAU